UACGAAGGGGGCUAGCGUUGUUCGGAAUUACUGGGCGUAAAGCGCACGUAGGCGGAUAUUUAAGUCGGGGGUGAAAUCCCGGGGCUCAACCCCGGAACUGCCUUCGAUACUGGGUAUCUUGAGUUCGGAAGAGGUGAGUGGAAUUGCGAGUGUAGAGGUGAAAUUCGUAGAUAUUAGGAAGAACACCGGUGGCGAAGGCGGCCCACUGGCUCGAUACUGACGCUGAGGUGCGAAAGCGUGGGGAGCAAACAGG
rnacentral:rRNA from 1 species